rnacentral:rRNA from 1 species
UACGGAGGGUGCAAGCGUUGUCCGGAUUUAUUGGGUUUAAAGGGUGCGUAGGCGGUCUUUUAAGUCAGUGGUGAAAGCCAACAGCUCAACUGUUGAACUGCCAUUGAUACUGGAAGACUUGAGUACAGACGAGGUAGGCGGAAUUUAUGGUGUAGCGGUGAAAUGCAUAGAUACCAUAAAGAACACCGAUUGCGAAGGCAGCUUACUAGGCUGUAACUGACGCUGAGGCACGAAAGCGUGGGGAUCAAACAGG